rnacentral:lncRNA from 1 species
GUCCAUGUGCCCUGCUCCUUCUGCUACCCCCAAGACAGCUGGACUGACUCUGACCCACUUCACAGCUAUUGGUUAGGGGAAGUGGCCCUUCCAGCCUCAGAUGCUCCAGUGGCCACAAACAACCCAGAUAGAAAAGUGCAGGAGGAGACCCAGGGACAGUUGCAACUUUCCAGGGACCGACAGAUCAAUGACUGCUCCCUGAGGGGUCAUACUUCUUUCACAUGGAGGGAGGGAAUAUGAAAUGGAGAUACAAAAUUAACCAGUUGUCCAUGCAUGUGAUGCGUAAGGCAUGGGCGUCCAACCCACAGGCCCGACAUCUUCAUCCCAAUAACCCUGGAGUCGGCUGCCCCAGCAAUCUAACCUGCUCUGUGCCUUGGGCCUGUGAGCAGGGGAUGCCUCCGACAAUCACCUGGAUGGGGCCUCCAUGUUCCCACUGGGCUCCACCUCGGUGCCCUCCACAGUCCAGGACCACGACGCCAGCCUCACCUGUCAGGUGACUUUACCGAGGGCUGGUGUGACCACGAACAGUAACAUCCAACUCAAUG